rnacentral:rRNA from 1 species
GAGUUUGAUCAUGGCUCAGAUUGAACGCUGGCGGCAGGCCUAACACAUGCAAGUCGAGCGGAUGACGGGAGCUUGCUCCUUGAUUCAGCGGCGGACGGGUGAGUAAUGCCUAGGAAUCUGCCUGGUAGUGGGGGACAACGUUUCGAAAGGAACGCUAAUACCGCAUACGUCCUACGGGAGAAAGCAGGGGACCUUCGGGCCUUGCGCUAUCAGAUGAGCCUAGGUCGGAUUAGCUAGUUGGUGGGGUAAUGGCUCACCAAGGCGACGAUCCGUAACUGGUCUGAGAGGAUGAUCAGUCACACUGGAACUGAGACACGGUCCAGACUCUACGGAGGCAGCAGUGGGGAAUAUUGGACAAUGGGCGAAAGCCUGAUCCAGCUAUGCCGCGUGUGUGAAGAAGGUCUUCGGAUUGUAAAGCACUUUAAGUUGGGAGGAAGGUCAGUAAGUUAAUACCUUGCUGUUUUGACGUUUACCGACUAGAAUAAGCACCGGCU